GUCCAGCUGACGAGUCCCAAAUAGGACUAAACGCGCGUCAAACUGAAU
rnacentral:hammerhead_ribozyme from 1 species